GUUGGUGGGGUAAAGGCUCACCAAGCCAACGAUCUGUAGCUGGUCUGAGAGGACGACCAGCCACACUGGAACUGAGACACGGUCCAGACUCCUACGGGAGGCAGCAGUGGGGAAUUUUGGACAAUGGACGCAAGUCUGAUCCAGCCAUUCCGCGUGCAGGAUGAAGGCCCUCGGGUUGUAAACUGCUUUUGUACGGAACGAAAAGGUUUCCAUUAAUACUGGGGGCUCAUGACGGUACCGUAAGAAUAAGCACCGGCUAACUACGUGCCAGCAGCCGCGGUAAUACGUAGGGUGCAAGCGUUAAUCGGAAUUACUGGGCGUAAAGCGUGCGCAGGCGGUUAUGUAAGACAGAGGUGAAAUCCCCGGGCUCAACCUGGGAACUGCCUUUGUGACUGCAUAGCUAGAGUACGGUAGAGGGGGAUGGAAUUCCGCGUGUAGCAGUGAAAUGCGUAGAUAUGCGGAGGAACACCGAUGGCGAAGGCAAUCCCCUGGACCUGUACUGACGCUCAUGCACGAAAGCGUGGGGAGCAAACAGGAUUAGAUACCCUGGUAGUCCACGCCCUAAACGAUGUCAACUGGUUGUUGGGUCUUCACUGACUCAGUAACGAAGCUAACGCGUGAAGUUGACCGCCUGGGG
rnacentral:rRNA from 1 species